GAUGAGUUUUUUGUUUUUGUGUAGCAGAAAAAAUAAAAAUAAAAUGAAUAAUCUUGGUUUAGCUGGCGGGAAAGUAGGUUUGUAGCAGACCAAUUUUGAUUUUUGAGAGACGCUUACGUGUGGUGGGUCUGUUGAUCCUCGAACGCCGUGUUUUUGCUUCACAUGAUCGUAACAAUAACGCUUAUGCAUGUAAUCUAAUACAUCAGCCGAUAACAUGGGACAUUUGCUCCCCUAGAUCCUUCCAAGAACCGCCCAUGUAUAUGAAUAUAUCAGCUGUCUAUAUGGUCUCAAGUCUUAACCUUCUUCUACCAAAAAUAAUAAACAUUUUUAAACCCUACUAAAUGGUUUUCAUAUGUUCAUUUUAUUGUUCCCUUCCCGUCACCGCAUCCACCUUGCUUGGUUUCCGAACCAGUGCCCCUCUUCGCUGUU